GGAAUCGCAGAGUGUUGUUGUCAUCACAGUCGUCAUAAGAAAUCUCUCACACCUGUAACUUGUGACCUGUCACCCCUUAAGAAUUUAUUUUGGCUAGAGAAACCAUAUACUAUACAUUUCUUCAGUUGUUUGACAACUGAUACGAGAUGUCUGCUUUGUUCAACUUCCAAAGUCUCCUGAGUGUGUUGCUGUUGAUGAUCUGUACCUGCGCAUAUAUACGAUCCUUUGCGCCUUCAUUACUUGACAGACAGAAGACUGGUCUGGUUGGGACCUUCUGGAAGAUGGCAAGAAUAGGGGAGAGGAAAAGCCCUUGGGUGGCUGCAGCGUGUGUAAUGAUGGCGGUGAACGUCCUCUUCCUAUCAUAGUUAUAGUGUUUUAGCUGUAAGGAUUAAACUGAAGAUGGCAUAGUCACAAGAAAUAAUUUAUAGGCAAAGGAAGUUUGGAGUGUACAAACAUCAGCUGCUUUCAGAAUGCUAUAUUAUUUCAUAUCAAAGAGGAUGCAAGUUGCUUUGUGCUUUAAUUUAAUAAGGAAAUGCUCAAUAAAAAUCUAACAAGGAGGAGAAAGCUUGCUCCACUAGAAUUUUGCUGUAUUGCCUGAAGGAAGACCAACUUUUUUGUGAUGCAAAUGUAAAGUUUUAUAUGUUGUCUCAUGAAAAUAAUCAUGACAAGUAUUUUUC